rnacentral:rRNA from 1 species
GGGCGUUAAGUUGCAGGGUAUAGACCCGAAACCCGGUGAUCUAGCCAUGGGCAGGUUGAAGGUUGGGUAACACUAACUGGAGGACCGAACCGACUAAUGUUGAAAAAUUAGCGGAUGACCUGUGGCUGGGGGUGAAAGGCCAAUCAAACCGGGAGAUAGCUGGUUCUCCCCGAAAGCUAUUUAGGUAGCGCCUCGUGAAUUCAUCUCCGGGGGUAGAGCACUGUUUCGGCUAGGGGGCCAUCCCGGCUUACCAACCCGAUGCAAACUGCGAAUACCGGAGAAUGUUAUCACGGGAGACACACGGCGGGUGCUAACGUCCGUCGUGAAGAGGGAAACAACCCAGACCGCCAGCUAAGGUCCCAAAGUCAUGGUUAAGUGGGAAACGAUGUGGGAAGGCCCAGACAGCCAGGAUGUUGGCUUAGAAGCAGCCAUCAUUUAAAGAAAGCGUAAUAGCUCACUGGUCGAGUCGGCCUGCGCGGAAGAUGUAACGGGGCUAAACCAUGCACCGAAGCUGCGGCAGCGACGCUUAUGCGUUGUUGGGUAGGGGAGCGUUCUGUAAGCCUGUGAAGGUGGCCUGUGAGGGUUGCUGGAGGUAUCAGAAGUGCGAAUGCUGACAUAAGUAACGAUAAAGCGGGUGAAAAGCCCGCUCGCCGGAAGACCAAGGGUUCCUGUCCAACGUUAAUCGGGGCAGGGUGAGUCGACCCCUAAGGCGAGGCCGAAAGGCGUAGUCGAUGGGAAACGGGUUAAUAUUCCCGUACUUGGUGUUACUGCGAAGGGGGGACGGAGAAGGCUAUGUUGGCCGGGCGACGGUUGUCCCGGUUUAAGCGUGUAGGUGUGUGUUCCAGGUAAAUCCGGUUCACUUUAACACUGAGGCGUGAUGACGAGGCACUACGGUGCUGAAGUAACAAAUGCCCUGCUUCCAGGAAAAGCCUCUAAGCAUCAGGUAACAUCAAAUCGUACCCCAAACCGACACAGGUGGUCAGGUAGAGAAUACCAAGGCGCUUGAGAGAACUCGGGUGAAGGAACUAGGCAAAAUGGUGCCGUAACUUCGGGAGAAGGCACGCUGACACGUAGGUGAAGUGAUUUACUCACGGAGCUGAAGUCAGUCGAAGAUACCAGCUGGCUGCAACUGUUUAUUAAAAACACAGCACUGUGCAAACACGAAAGUGGACGUAUACGGUGUGACGCCUGCCCGGUGCCGGAAGGUUAAUUGAUGGGGUCAGCGCAAGCGAAGCUCCUGAUCGAAGCCCCGGUAAACGGCGGCCGUAACUAUAACGGUCCUAAGGUAGCGAAAUUCCUUGUCGGGUAAGUUCCGACCUGCACGAAUGGCGUAAUGAUGGCCAGGCUGUCUCCACCCGAGACUCAGUGAAAUUGAACUCGCUGUGAAGAUGCAGUGUACCCGCGGCAAGACGGAAAGACCCCGUGAACCUUUACUAUAGCUUGACACUGAACAUUGAGCCUUGAUGUGUAGGAUAGGUGGGAGGCUUUGAAGUGUGGACGCCAGUCUGCAUGGAGCCGACCUUGAAAUACCACCCUUUAAUGUUUGAUGUUCUAACGUGGACCCGUUACCCGGGUUGCGGACAGUGUCUGGUGGGUAGUUUGACUGGGGCGGUCUCCUCCUAAAGAGUAACGGAGGAGCACGAAGGUUGGCUAAUCCUGGUCGGACAUCAGGAGGUUAGUGCAAUGGCAUAAGCCAGCUUGACUGCGAGCGUGACGGCGCGAGCAGGUGCGAAAGCAGGUCAUAGUGAUCCGGUGGUUCUGAAUGGAAGGGCCAUCGCUCAACGGAUAAAAGGUACUCCGGGGAUAACAGGCUGAUACCGCCCAAGAGUUCAUAUCGACGGCGGUGUUUGGCACCUCGAUGUCGGCUCAUCACAUCCUGGGGCUGAAGUAGGUCCCAAGGGUAUGGCUGUUCGCCAUUUAAAGUGGUACGCGAGCUGGGUUUAGAACGUCGUGAGACAGUUCGGUCCCUAUCUGCCGUGGGCGCUGGAGAACUGAGGGGGGCUGCUCCUAGUACGAGAGGACCGGAGUGGACGCAUCACUGGUGUUCGGGUUGUCAUGCCAAUGGCACUGCCCGGUAGCUAAAUGCGGAAGAGAUAAGUGCUGAAAGCAUCUAAGCACGAAACUUGCCCCGAGAUGAGUUCUCCCUGAGACUUAAAGUCUCCUGAAGGAACGUUGAAGACGACGACGUUGAUAGGCCGGGUGUGUAAGCGCAGCGAUGCGUUGAGCUAACCGGUACUAAUGAACCGUGAGGCUUAACC